GUUGGGCCUUAUCGAAGCUACGUAUUACUUUAGUGAAUAUGAUAGUCAAAUAAAGGCCAAAAUUAGAUGAUCCCUAAACGGUCGCGGUUUAGACAUCGUGUCUUCAACGUAUUACCGACGGGACCUACAUCU
rfam:Papilio machaon contig31967, whole genome shotgun sequence.